rnacentral:rRNA from 1 species
UACGUAGGUCCCGAGCGUUGUCCGGAUUUAUUGGGCGUAAAGCGAGCGCAGGUGGUUUAUUAAGUCUGGUGUAAAAGGCAGUGGCUCAACCAUUGUAUGCAUUGGAAACUGGUAGACUUGAGUGCAGGAGAGGAGAGUGGAAUUCCAUGUGUAGCGGUGAAAAGCGUAGAUAUAUGGAGGAACACCGGUGGCGAAAGCGGCUCUCUGGCCUGUAACUGACACUGAGGCUCGAAAGCGUGGGGAGCAAACAGG